rnacentral:rRNA from 1 species
GCGGGUUUACGACCUCGAUGUUGGAUCAGGGUAUCCCAGUGGUGCAGCCGCUACUAAAGGUUCGUUUGUUCAACGAUUAAAACCCUACGUGAUCUGAGUUCAGACCGGAGUAAUCCAGGUCAGUUUCUAUCUAUAAGGGGCUUUUUCUAGUACGAAAGGACCGAAAAAACAUGGCCCAUGCAUAAUACAAGCCAUACUAAAUAAUUUAUGAUUAAAACUCAAUAAAUACUUAACCCACCCCCAACUCUAAACAAGAGUAGUU